rnacentral:rRNA from 1 species
UACGUAGGGGGCAAGCGUUGUCCGGAUUUAUUGGGCGUAAAGAGCGUGUAGGCGGCCAGGUAGGUCUGCUGUGAAAACUCGAGGCUCAACCUCGAGAUGUCGGCGGAAACCAUCUGGCUAGAGUCCGGAAGAGGAAAGUGGAAUUCCCGGUGUAGCGGUGAAAUGCGCAGAUAUCGGGAAGAACACCCGUGGCGAAGGCGGCUUUCUGGGACGGUACUGACGCUGGAGACGCGAAAGCGUGGGGAGCGAACAGG